GAUGAACGCUGGCGGCGUGCCUAAUACAUGCCAGUCGAGCGAACGGACGAGAAGCUUGCUUCUCUGAUGUUAGCGGCGGACGGGUGAGUAACACGUGGAUAACCUACCUAUAAGACUGGGAUAACUUCGGGAAACCGGAGCUAAUACCGGAUGAUAUUUUGAACCGCAUGGUUCAAAAGUGAAAGACGGUCUUGCUGUCACUUAUAGAUGGAUCCGCGCUGCAUUAGCUAGUUGGUAAGGUAACGGCUUACCAAGGCAACGAUGCAUAGCCGACCUGAGAGGGUGAUCGGCCACACUGGAACUGAGACACGGUCCAGACUCCUACGGGAGGCAGCAGUAGGGAAUCUUCCGCAAUGGGCGAAAGCCUGACGGAGCAACGCCGCGUGAGUGAUGAAGGUCUUCGGAUCGUAAAACUCUGUUAUUAGUGAAGAACAUAUGUGUAAGUAACUGUGCACAUCUUGACGGUACCUAAUCAGAAAGCCACGGCUAACUACGUG
rnacentral:rRNA from 1 species